AUUGAACGCUGGCGGCAGGCCUAACACAUGCAAGUCGAGCGAGCGGCGGACGGGUGAGUAAUGUAUGGGGACUGCCCGAUAGAGGGGGAUAACUACUGGAAACGGUAGCUAAUACCGCAUACUAUCGGAUAACCCAUAUGGGAGUAGCUAGUAGGUGGGGUACUGGCUCACCUAGGCGACGAUCCCUAGCUGGUCUGAGAGGAUGAUCAGCAACACUGGGACUGAGACACGGCCCAGGCUCCUACGGAGGCAGCAGUGGGGAAUAUUGCACAAUGGGCGCAAGCCUGAUGCAGCCAUGCCGCGUGUAUGAAGAAGGCCCUAGGGUUGUAAAGUACUUUCAGGCGGGAGGCGUUACCUACAGAAGAAGCACCGGCUAACUCCGUGCCAGCAGCCGCGGUAAUUC
rnacentral:rRNA from 1 species